UACGAAGGGGGGCUAGCGUUGCUCGGAAUGACUGGGCGUAAAGGGCGCGUAGGCGGCCUUCUAAGUCGAACGUGAAAUCCCCGGGCUCAACCCGGGAACUGCGUCCGAUACUGGAAGGCUUGAAUCCGGGAGAGGGAUGCGGAAUUCCAGGUGUAGCGGUGAAAUGCGUAGAUAUCAGGAGGAACACCCGUGGCGAAGGCGGCUCUCUGGAACGCAACUGACGCUGAGACGCGAAAGCGUGGGGAGCAAACAGG
rnacentral:rRNA from 1 species